GCAGUUAUAGCUUAAAGGUAAAGCCAAUCACUGUUAAUGAUUUGAUCUUGGUUCAAUUCCAGGUUACUGCU
rnacentral:tRNA from 1 species